ACUAUAAGCCGCUACUUUUUUCCCAGGCUUUGAACUAUAUCAGCGGCUUUCGGCCCGGUGCGGCUUAUAUGUGUAUGUUUCCAGUUUUAAAAAAAACUUUGUAGAUGCAGCUUGUAGUGAGGUGUGCUCUAUAGUCCUGAAAAUAAAGUAUAUUUCUUGACGGAAAUGCAUGUGUAAGGACAAG